rnacentral:rRNA from 1 species
AACCAGCACCUCAAGUGGUCAGGAUGAUUAUUGGGCCUAAAGCAUCCGUAGCCGGCUCUGUAAGUUUUCGGUUAAAUCUGUACGCUCAACGUACAGGCUGCCGGGAAUACUGCAGAGCUAGGGAGUGGGAGAGGUAGACGGUACUCGGUAGGAAGGGGUAAAAUCCUUUGAUCUAUUGAUGACCACCUGUGGCGAAGGCGGUCUACCAGAACACGUCCGACGGUGAGGGAUGAAAGCUAGGGGAGCAAACAGG